CCUACGGGGGGCUGCAGUAGGGAAUUUUCGUCAAUGGGCGCAAGCCUGAACGAGCAAUGCCGCGUGAACGAGGAAGGUCUUCGGAUCGUAAAGUUCUGUUGAAGGGGAAAAAGAGCGGAGAGAGGAAAUGCUUUCUGAUUGAUAUUACCCUUCGAGGAAGUCACGGCUAACUACGUGCCAGCAGCCGCGGUAAUACGUAGGUGGCGAGCGUUAUCCGGAAUGAUUGGGCGUAAAGGGUGCGUAGGCGGCCUGCUAAGUCUGGAGUGAAAGGUACCGGCUCAACCGGUACAGGCUCUGGAAACUGGCGGGCUAGAGAGCGUCAGAGGGGGGUGGAAUUCCAAGUGUAGCAGUGAAAUGCGUAGAUAUUUGGAAGAACACCGAUGGCGAAGGCAGCCCCCUGGGACGCAACUGACGCUCAUACACGAAAGCGUGGGGAGCAAACAGGAUUAGAUACCCGUGUAGUC
rnacentral:rRNA from 1 species